rnacentral:rRNA from 1 species
AUGACCCGCUGUCUUUGGCGCAUCGCCAAUGGGGAAGGAGGCCUCUGGCUCACCAUCAUCUGUAAUAAGUACCUUAGGGGCCAACCCCUUGCCUUCUGCCAGCGAUCGGGUGGCUCCCAGUUUUGGCAGUCGGUGAUCCAGCUCCUGCCCGUCCUCCGCAUUGGCACGUCCAUCUCGGUUGGCUCCGGGUCCUCGACCUUGUUCUGGUUUGACCGGUGGUUAGGGGACUCCCCCCUCGCGGCGCGAUUCCCCGACCUAUUCGCCAUUGUGGUUGACCCUCGGGUCUCUAUCAAGAUGGCCCUUAUUGACUUAGGGUGCCUCGCUUUCCGACGCCCCUUCAACCCCCUUGAGGUGGCUGCUUGGGACUCCCUCCUCCAGGACAUCGCCCUUCUGCUGAUGGACGUCGAGGAGACCCUAGAUUCCCUCUCCUGCCGCCUCGAGCCAUCAGGUUGCUUCUCCACGAAGUCCCUGUACGCCGCCAUUGCUCCCUCGGACAUCCGCCUGCCUCUGAAGAUCAGGAUUUUCCUGUGGCAAUGGAUUCAUGGAUGCCUCCCCUGGGUUGUAACCCUCAAGCGUAAUGGACUGGGCAAUGGGAUGUGCCCCAUUUGUGGCACGAUUGAAGAUGCCAACCACAUCUUCUUCUCGUGCUCCACUGCCCAGUUCCUCUGGGCUUGCUUCCACGAGGUGGUUGGUGGACAGUGGUGCAACACCAACUUCCACGACUUACUUGCAGAGCUGAACGCUCCCCCCUCGCUACCGCCAUAUUAG